rnacentral:rRNA from 1 species
CGUAUCACCCAAGACAACUUUACGGAGUUGACGAUUGACGGAGCGAAGCGACGUCAAAGCGUUCAUUAAAGUCGAGUUGGCUUAGGGAUACGUUCGUUGGGUAGGGGAGCGUUCUGUAAGCCUGUGAAGGUGUGUCGUGAGGCAUGCUGGAGGUAUCAGAAGUGCGAAUGCUGACAUAAGUAACGAUAAAGCGGGUGAAAAGCCCGCUCGCCGGAAGACCAAGGGUUCCUGUCCAACGUUAAUCGGGGCAGGGUGAGUCGACCCCUAAGGCGAGGCCGAAAGGCGUAGUCGAUGGGAAACGGGUUAAUAUUCCCGUACUUGGUGUUACUGCGAAGGGGGGACGGAGAAGGCUAUGUUGGCCGGGCGACGGUUGUCCCGGUUUAAGCGUGUAGGCUGGUUUUCCAGGCAAAUCCGGAAAAUCAAGGCUGAGGCGUGACGACGAGGCACUACGGUGCUGAAGCAACAAAUGCCCUGCUUCCAGGAAAAGCCUCUAAGCAUCAGGUAACAUCAAAUCGUACCCCAAACCGACACAGGUGGU